rnacentral:rRNA from 1 species
CUCAGAACUUAAAGGAAUUGACGGGGCCCGCACAAGCGGUGGAGUAUGUGGUUUAAUUCGAUGCAACGCGAAGAACCUUACCUGGUCUUGACAUCCCGGAGACCCUUAGGAAACUAGGGGGUGCUUCCAUCUGGAAGAAUCUGGAGACAGGUGCUGCAUGGCUGUCGUCAGCUCGUGUCGUGAGAUGUUGGGUUAAGUCCCGCAACGAGCGCAACCCUUGCCUUUAGUUGCCAGCAGUUCGGCUGGGCACUCUAAAGGGACUGCCGGUGUUAAACCGGAGGAAGGUGGGGAUGACGUCAAGUCCUCAUGGCCUUUAUGACCAGGGCUACACACGUACUACAAUGGCCGAUACAAAGGGCAGCGACACUGCGAGGUGAAGCCAAUCCCGUAAAAUCGGUCUCAGUCCGGAUUGGAGUCUGCAACUCGACUCCAUGAAGUUGGAAUCGCUAGUAAUCGUGGAUCAGCAUGCCACGGUGAAUACGUUCCCGGGCCUU